rnacentral:rRNA from 1 species
UACGGGGGGGGCAAGCGUUGUUCGGAAUUACUGGGCGUAAAGGGCUCGUAGGCGGCCAACUAAGUCAGACGUGAAAUCCCUCGGCUUAACCGGGGAACUGCGUCUGAUACUGGAUGGCUUGAGUUUGGGAGAGGGAUGCGGAAUUCCAGGUGUAGCGGUGAAAUGCGUAGAUAUCCGGAGGAACACCAGUGGCGAAAGCGGCCACCUGGACUGCACCUGACGCUGACACGCGAAAGCUAGGGGAGCGAACGGG